UACCAUCACAUGACUUGACCUGCGCGUGGAGGGUGAGAGAGAGAGAGAGAAUGGAGGAUGAGAGGAAGAUGAGCAUCUCUGAAGCAGUGGCCAUGAAUGGAGGGAACGGACCUUGCAGUUACGAGCAGAACUCUUCUAUCAGAAAGAAGUCGCUGCCGCCGCCAUGGAUAUGAUCAAGGAAGCUUUACCCACAACCCUUGAUCUCUACCACCUCCCGUUAUCCUCUCCAAACCCCAUAAUCAGAAUAGCAGACUUCGGUUGCUCUACAGGACUCACAUCCAUCCAAGCCAUCGAAACCAUAGUACAAUGCCUCUUAGACCUCAUCAAACCAAUCAAAGAACCCCGAUUUCGUACCCUCGAGUUCCAAGCCAUCUUCAGCGACCUCCCCACCAAUGACUUCAACACGCUUUUCACCAACCACCUGCCAGUGAGGCGGCGCUACUAUGCCAUGGCAGCCCCAGGAUCGUUCCAUGGCCGUCUCCUCCCGACUGCAUCCCUACACUUUGCAUAAUCGUCCUAUGCACUCCACUGGCUGUCCCGCCUUCCACAAGAGAUACUGGACAAGUCUUCCCGUGCUUGGAAUGGAGAGAGAAUUUAUCACGUGAACUCGCCCGCCGAGGUCGUCGGGGCUUACUCCGCUCAGUUCGGGAGAGACAUGGAGAUGUUUCUCAGUGCGAGAGCGGAGGAGAUGGUCGGUGAAGGAUUGAUAUUUAUGGUCAUGCCUGGUGAGCCAGAUUUGGUUCAUGAUUCUCAGACCACCAUAGGGUCAGAAUUCGAGCUGCUGGGUUCUUGCCUUGUGGACAUGGCAAAAGAGGGGAUCAUAAGCAAAGCCAAAGUAGAGAGCUUCAACUUGCCAAUAUAUUUCCCAUCAGAAAAGGAGCUGAAACAAGUGAUUAGUCGAAACGAAUUCUUCCACAUCGAGAGGAUUCAGACUCUAAGCCACCUCAA